rnacentral:rRNA from 1 species
UACGGAGGGUGCAAGCGUUAUCCGGAUUCACUGGGUUUAAAGGGAGCGCAGGCGGAUUUGUAAGUCAGUGGUGAAAGGCUUAAGCUUAACUUGGGAACUGCCAUUGAUACUAUAAGUCUUGAAUGUUGUUGAGGUUUGCGGAAUGGGUCAUGUAGCGGUGAAAUGCAUAGAGAUUGGGAAGAACAUCGGUGGCGAAGGCGCUCUGCUGGACCAUAACUGACACUCACAGGACGAAAGCUAGGGGAGCGAAUGGG